rnacentral:rRNA from 1 species
GAUGAACGCUGACAGAAUGCUUAACACAUGCAAGUCAACUUGAAUUUGGGUUUUUAACUUAGAUUUGGGUGGCGGACGGGUGAGUAACGCGUAAAGAACUUGCCUCACAGCUAGGGACAACAUUUAGAAAUGAAUGCUAAUACCUAAUAUUAUGAUAAUAGGGCAUCCUAUAAUUAUGAAAGCUAUAUGCGCUGUGAGAGAGCUUUGCGUCCCAUUAGCUAGUUGGAGAGGUAACGGCUCACCAAGGCGAUGAUGGGUAGCCGGCCUGAGAGGGUGAUCGGCCACAAGGGGACUGAGACACGGCCCUUACUCCUACGGGAGGCAGCAGUGGGGAAUAUUGGGCAAUGGACCGAGAGUCUGAUCCAGCAAUUCUGUGUGCACGAUGAAGUUUUUCGGAAUGUAAAGUGCUUUCAGUUGGGAAGAAAGAAAUGACGGUACCAACAGAAGAAGUGACGGCUAAAUACGUGCCAGCAGCCGCGGUAAUACGUAUGUCACGAGCGUUAUCCGGAUUUAUUGGGCGUAAAGCGCGUCUAGGUGGUUAUAUAAGUCUGAUGUGAAAAUGCAGGGCUCAACUCUGUAUUGCGUUGGAAACUGUAUAACUAGAGUACUGGAGAGAUAAGCGGAACUACAAGUGUAGAGGUGAAAUUCGUAGAUAUUUGUAGGAAUGCCGAUGGGGAAGCCAGCUUACUGGACAGAUACUGACGCUGAAGCGCGAAAGCGUGGGUAGCAAACAGG